UACGUAGGUGGCAAGCGUUAUCCGGAAUUAUUGGGCGUAAAGCGCGCGCAGGCGGUUUCUUAAGUCUGAUGUGAAAGCCCACGGCUCAACCGUGGAGGGUCAUUGGAAACUGGGGAACUUGAGUGCAGAAGAGAAAAGCGGAAUUCCACGUGUAGCGGUGAAAUGCGUAGAGAUGUGGAGGAACACCAGUGGCGAAGGCGGCUUUUUGGUCUGUAACUGACGCUGAGGAGCGAAAGCAUGGGGAGCGAACAGG
rnacentral:rRNA from 1 species